rnacentral:rRNA from 1 species
GACGAACGCUGGCGGCGUGCUUAACACAUGCAAGUCGAACGGAAAGGCCCUGCUUUUGUGGGGUGCUCGAGUGGCGAACGGGUGAGUAACACGUGAGUAACCUGCCCUUGACUUUGGGAUAACUUUAGGAAACUGGGGCUAAUACCGGAUAGGAGCUCCUGCUGCAUGGUGGGGGUUGGAAAGUUUCGGCGGUUGGGAUGGACUCGCGGCUUAUCAGCUUGUUGGUGGGGUAGUGGCUUACCAAGGCUUUGACGGGUAGCCGGCCUGAGAGGGUGACCGGCCACAUUGGGACUGAGAUACGGCCCAGACUCCUACGGGAGGCAGCAGUGGGGAAUAUUGCACAAUGGGCGGAAGCCUGAUGCAGCAACGCCGCGUGCGGGAUGACGGCCUUCGGGUUGUAAACCGCUUUCGCCUGUGACGAAGCGUGAGUGACGGUAAUGGGUAAAGAAGCACCGGCUAACUACGUG